rnacentral:tRNA from 1 species
ACACUGAUGGUUCAAUAGUAGAAUUCUCAUCUCCCAUGUGGGAAGCCUGGGUUCAAUUCCUGGCCAAUGCA